rnacentral:tRNA from 1 species
GGUCCUAUUUCGGCUGAUUGACUCACAAUCUCAAGAUACCCCUGUCGCUGGUUCGAACCCAGCUGGGACCACCA